UCUAUUCGCACUCUGUGCUGGAGACUCAACUAUGCUGUUAUGGAAACAGAGGAGGAAGCUGACAGAAGCUGCUGACUCAGAUAUCACAGCUCAGUUCUCCACACUGCAGCCACCACAAGACAGAAGAAAGCAGCUGGCAUUUUUCAGUGCUGUUUUUGCCAGAAUACAGGGAAGAUUGGAUUUCCAGUGGGAGGAGGAAAUGAAUGAAGGAAUUUAUCCCAACCUCUACUUGAUCCCAAACUUGUCAACAUAACAGACUAUAUCCUUAAAGAAUACCUGCUGCAGGAUCUUAAGUGAAUCUCCUUUUCUACUGGACCAUUUUUAUAAAGCUGAAGUAUUUUUAAAUACAGCCUUAGUCAUGGACAGAAGGACAUGCACCGUUCAUGAAAGACCGUUCAUAUUUUGUGUUACUGUUUAUUUUCAUGGACAUGCCACUCCCUUAAAGAUUUAAAGUAAAUUGACAGACUGAGGGAGUCCAAAACUGCUCUUCAACUAUCUACUUGUAGUAGCUCUGAAAUGCAACUGUGGCUACCUCCUCACUACGGGGGGGGAGGGGUGUCGAUUUAAGAUACGCAAAUUCAGCUACGCGA